rnacentral:rRNA from 1 species
ACUGCUCAGUAACACGUAGUCUACAUGCCCAGGGGACGUGGAUAACCUCGGGAAACUGAGGAUAAACCGCGAUAGGCCAAGAUUUCUGGAAUGAAUCAUGGUUUAAAUCUAUAUGGCCCCUGGAUUGGACUGCGGCCGAUCAGGCUGUUGGUGAGGUAAUGGCCCACCAAACCUGUAACCGGUACGGGCUCUGAGAGGAGGAGCCCGGAGAUGGGCACUUAGACAAGGGCCCAGGCCCUAUGGGGCGCAGCAGGCGCGAAACCUCUGCAAUAAGCGAAAGCUUGACAGGGUUACUCUGAGUGAUUUCCGCUAAGGAAGUCUUUUGGCACCUCUAAAAAUGGUGCAGAAUAAAGGGUGGGCAAGUCUGGUGUCAGCCGCCGCGGUAAUACCAGCACCCCGAGUGGUCGGGACGAUUAUUGGGCCUAAAGCAUCCGUAGCCGGUCCUGCAAGUCCUCCGUUAAAUCCACCCGCUCAACGGUUGGGCCGCGGGGGAUACUACAGGGCUAGGAGGCGGGAGAGGCAAGCGGUACUCGAUGGGUAGGGGUAAAAUCCACUGAUCCAUUGAAGACCACCAGUGGCGAAGGCGGCUUGCCAGAACGCGCUCGACGGUGAGGGAUGAAAGCUGGGGGAGCAAACCGGAUUAGAUACCCGGGUAGUCCCAGCUGUAAGCGAUGCAGACUCGGUGAUGGGCUGGCUUCGUGCCAACCCGGUGCCGCAGGGAAGCCGUUAAGUCUGCCGCCUGGGGAGUACGGUCGCAAGACUGAAACUUAAAGGAAUUGGCGGGGGAGCA